rnacentral:tRNA from 1 species
UGGAAACCUGAAAUGAAGAUUUUCUCUUCUCAAGACA